AAGUCGUAACAAGGUUUCCGUAGGUGAACCUGCGGAAGGAUCAUUAAAAAAGGGUCGAAAGACCUAUUUUUCUACUGAAACUCUACAAUCUUUUUUAGAUGGUGGAUGUUUCUUUAAAAAUCCAAUAAAACAUAUCGUCUUUAGACGAACCAAAAAUAAAUUCUAAAAAACUUUCAACAAUGGAUCUCUUGGCUCUC
rnacentral:misc_RNA from 1 species